UCGAACGAUGAAGCCCUUCGGGGUGGAUUAGUGGCGAACGGGUGAGUAACACGUGGGCAAUCUGCCCUGCACUCUGGGACAAGCCCUGGAAACGGGGUCUAAUACCGGAUGACACUUUCUCUCGCAUGGGAGAAGGUUGAAAGCUCCGGCGGUGCAGGAUGAGCCCGCGGCCUAUCAGCUUGUUGGUGAGGUAGAAGCUCACCAAGGCGACGACGGGUAGCCGGCCUGAGAGGGCGACCGGCCACACUGGGACUGAGACACGGCCCAGACUCCUACGGGAGGCAGCAGUGGGGAAUAUUGCACAAUGGGCGAAAGCCUGAUGCAGCGACGCCGCGUGAGGGAUGACGGCCUUCGGGUUGUAAACCUCUUUCAGCAGGGAAGAAGCGAAAGUGACGGUACCUGCAGAAGAAGCGCCGGCUAACUACGUGCCAGCAGCCGCGGUAAUACGUAGGGCGCAAGCGUUGUCCGGAAUUAUUGGGCGUAAAGAGCUCGUAGGCGGCUUGUCACGUCGGUUGUGAAAGCCCGGGGCUUAACCCCGGGUCUGCAGUCGAUACGGGCAGGCUAGAGUGUGGUAGGGGAGAUCGGAAUUCCUGGUGUAGCGGUGAAAUGCGCAGAUAUCAGGAGGAACACCGGUGGCGAAGGCGGAUCUCUGGGCCAUUACUGACGCUGAGGAGCGAAAGCGUGGGGAGCGAACAGGAU
rnacentral:rRNA from 1 species